rnacentral:rRNA from 1 species
UACGGAAGGGGCAAGCGUUGUUCGGAUUUACUGGGCGUAAAGGGCGCGUAGGCGGUCAGCACAAGUCAGUUGUGAAAUCUCCGGGCUUAACUCGGAAAGGUCAACUGAUACUGUGCGACUAGAGUGCGGAAGGGGCAACUGGAAUUCUCGGUGUAGCGGUGAAAUGCGCAGAUAUCGGGAAGAACACCCGUGGCGAAGGCGGCUCUCUGGGGACGGUACUGACGGCUGAGACGCGAAAGCGUGGGGAGCGAACAGG